GUAACCCACUCACAAAAAGAAAACCCUAAAAGCUAAGUAACCCGCGCCGUCCUCCAACAAAUCUCCAUGACCGUUCAUCGUUCAUCGCUCAUCGCCGUCGUCUUCAUCCUCAAUCAACAUCUCCGUGACCUUCUCAGCCAUGCCUUAGUUACCCGCGCCGUUCUCAGCCAUCCGUGACCGAAAAUCGUUGAUCGCCUUCAUCGCACCAUGACCGUUGAUCACCUUCAUCGCCGUCAUCCUCAUCUGUGUAAGCGAAUGACCGUCGCACCCAUGCCGUUCGUGUAACCCUCGCACCCGACCGUCGAACCCUAUUGCUGUUUCUCAACCAUCGCCAUUCAAUGCAACCCUCGUUGGCCCUCUGUCUCUGUGUCACCAUCAACGCAACCCUCGUUGGCCCUCCCUCAACGCAGCGGUCUCUGUCUCUCGCAAACCCUGGAUCAAGUACUUCCUGUGGACCUGAAAGGAGAAAGUUUCUCUGGUCUUUUAGGAACUCAUUACAGGUUCAAUUCCGCAGCUCAACAGAAUAGGAUUCUUGAAGGCCAUGUAUUUGUCAGGAAACAAAUUCUCUGGGAAUAUUCCCACAGAUUAUUUUCAGAGAAUGAGGUCUCUGAAGAAAUUGUGGCUUUCUAACAACGAAUUCACAGGUCAAAUCCCAGCAUCAUUAGCCGAGAUCCCUCAGCUUGUUGAGUUGCAUCUGGAGAAUAAUCAGUUUAGUGGAAACAUCCUAAAUCUUGCGAAUCCUUCAUUGGUGGACCUCGAUUUGUCAUAUAACAAAUUGGAAGGUGAAGUUCCACAG